ACUUUCCUACAUGUACUUGUCCGGCUCUCAAAGGACUAAGACAAGACUCGUGACAGAUAUGGGCUAUUGAAGUCGCCUCGGUCCACCCUUCCUCCAUCAACAUCAAAUAAUGCAAUGCGUCAUAUUCGUGAAACUAGUGCAAUCAACCUACUACAUAUAAUCAUGAUGCAUGAACAUGCUUUAGGCAUUAGAUUUUGUGCAUAAAAGAUUAGGUUUAGUUCUACUCACCUCCUGGCAGACGCUGACUGACUCUGCAACUGCUAG
rnacentral:lncRNA from 1 species